UAAGAGGAGUACAAUUCAGACCUUUAAGUAAAGUAGCAUUCUACAUAUUUGUAGCUAAUUUCUUAGUAUUA